UGCUGCCCAGCACCACCACCAGCCGCGGCAGACGUGACAGAGGGGGAGCUGGAAAAACGUGGGAUACAGGUCCCAGCCCAAGCCCAGAGCAUGCAAGAGGGAGCUGGCCCAGGAGAUACGGCCAGUCCCAAGCCCCUCAAUGUCUGUGAGAACGACUUGGAGCUGCUCACUGAGAGGGGCCUAAUUCCCUCCUAGGCCAGGACACAUUCUUCUGGUGACCUUAUCCCAAGGGGCUUUGGGAAGCAAAGGAGCUAUUUUGGGAGUUCACCUUAGCUGAAUCUGCUGGUGAGGGGCCCCAGCCGCCUGAGACUGACUGAAGCCUCGGUCUGACUC